UACGUAGGUGGCGAGCGUUAUCCGGAUUUACUGGGUGUAAAGGGCGUGUAGGCGGGAGAGCAAGUCAGAUGUGAAAACUACAGGCUUAACCUGUAGCCUGCAUUUGAAACUGUUCUUCUUGAGUGAUGGAGAGGCAGGCGGAAUUCCUAGUGUAGCGGUGAAAUGCGUAGAUAUUAGGAGGAACACCAGUGGCGAAGGCGGCCUGCUGGACAUUAACUGACGCUGAGGCGCGAAAGCGUGGGGAGCAAACAGG
rnacentral:rRNA from 1 species